rnacentral:ncRNA from 1 species
AAAAUUUUGUCGACAAAGAGAGUAUUUUUCCAACUAAGUUUAAAGCGAAUUGGGACGGUGUAAGCCAAUAACAGUUGAAAAAAGAAGCGCACUUUGGAAAAAAUAAUUUGAACAUUAUAGUAGAAUUAUUCGGAUUUGUUAUCCGUUAUCAAUCAACAAGUGGCUAAGAGAAUAACCCUUAGCAACAAGAGUGGUACCGCGGGCCUAUUCUCGUCUCUUAU